GACGAACGCUGGCGGCGUGCUUAACACAUGCAAGUCGAACGGUGAUGCUCCAGCUUGCUGGAGUGGAUCAGUGGCGAACGGGUGAGUAACACGUGAGCAACCUGCCCCGGACUCUGGAAUAAGCGCUGGAAACGGCGUCUAAUACUGGAUACGAAACUGGCCCGCAUGGGCAUGGUUUGGAAAGUUUUUCGGUUUGGGAUGGGCUCGCGGCCUAUCAGCUUGUUGGUGAGGUAAUGGCUCACCAAGGCGACGACGGGUAGCCGGCCUGAGAGGGCGACCGGCCACACUGGGACUGAGACACGGCCCAGACUCCUACGGGAGGCAGCAGUGGGGAAUAUUGCACAAUGGGCGAAAGCCUGAUGCAGCGACGCCGCGUGAGGGAUGACGGCCUUCGGGUUGUAAACCUCUUUCAGCAGGGAAGAAGCGAAAGUGACGGUACCUGCAGAAGAAGCACCGGCUAACUACGUG
rnacentral:rRNA from 1 species